GUCUCUGUGGCGCAGUGGGUCAGCGCGUUCAGCUGUUAACCGAAAGGCUGGUGGUUCGAGCCCACUCAGUGAGG
rfam:Loxodonta africana unplaced genomic scaffold scaffold_127, whole genome shotgun sequence.